CAAAAUUUUACUUGCGACAUCCACACUAAAGGCCCCGAAAUCCACAAGUCUCCCCAAAUAGAGAUCCUUUCUCCUGACCCCACUCUCUAACACAAUAUAUUUUUCAAGAGACCUUUUGCUACCCACACACUCUUCCAGGUAUACGAAGGUUGAGUCGAAUAUAGAUGGCAUGCGAUAGGAUGGAAGAGUUCAGGGAUUUCUUCGACCUCGAGUUGAUGAGGCACUGGGUGCCAAUUUUCUUUGGUUUAACUGAUGAGACACUGGGUGUCAAUUUAUAUAGCAUUAGGCACAGUUAUUACUUCUGUAACAGCCCGAUUUUGGGCUCAGUCAGAACAGUGGUUUCGGAACCACAAAUCCGAGGUCAAUAAAUUAUUUUAAUAUUAUUUUAUGUGUUAU